UACGUAGGGACCAAGCGUUGUUCGGAUUUACUGGGCGUAAAGGGCGCGUAGGCGGCUUGUCAAGUCACUUGUGGAAUCUCUGGGCUUAACCCAGAACGGCCAAGUGAAACUGACAUGCUAGAGUGCAGAAGGGGCAAUCGGAAUUCUUGGUGUAGCGGUGAAAUGCGUAGAUAUCAAGAGGAACACCUGAGGUGAAGACGGGUUGCUGGGCUGACACUGACGCUGAGGCGCGAAAGCCAGGGGAGCAAACAGG
rnacentral:rRNA from 1 species